rnacentral:rRNA from 1 species
AUUAGAGUUUGAUCCUGGCUCAGGAUGAACGCUAGCGGCAGGCCUAAUACAUGCAAGUCGGACGGGAUUGGGGAGCUUGCUCCCCAUGAGAGUGGCGCACGGGUGCGUAACACGUAUGUAACCUACCUUAUUCAGGGGGAUAGCCUCUCGAAAGAGAGAUUAAGACCGCAUAACAUUACCGGAUGGCAUCAUUUGGUAAUCAAAUAUUUAUAGGAAUAAGAUGGGCAUGCGGAACAUUAGCUAGUUGGUGGGGUAAAGGCCUACCAAGGCGACGAUCUGUAGCGGGUCUGAGAGGAUGAUCCGCCACACUGGGACUGAGACACGGCCCAGACUCCUACGGGAGGCAGCAGUGGGGAAUAUUGGACAAUGGGGGGAACCCUGAUCCAGCCAUGCCGCGUGUGUGAAGAAGGCCUUAUGGUUGUAAAGCACUUUAAGCGAGGAGGAGGCUCUUCUAGUUAAUACCUAGGAUGAGUGGACGUUACUCGCAGAAUAAGCACCGGCUAACUCUGUGCCAGCAGCCGCGGUAAUACAGAGGGUGCGAGCGUUAAUCGGAUUUACUGGGCGUAAAGCGUGCGUAGGCGGCUUUUUAAGUCGGAUGUGAAAUCCCCGAGCUUAACUUGGGAAUUGCAUUCGAUACUGGGAAGCUAGAGUAUGGGAGAGGAUGGUAGAAUUCCAGGUGUAGCGGUGAAAUGCGUAGAGAUCUGGAGGAAUACCGAUGGCGAAGGCAGCCAUCUGGCCUAAUACUGACGCUGAGGUACGAAAGCAUGGGGAGCAAACAGGAUUAGAUACCCUGGUAGUCCAUGCCGUAAACGAUGUCUACUAGCCGUUGGGGCCUUUGAGGCUUUAGUGGCGCAGCUAACGCGAUAAGUAGACCGCCUGGGGAGUACGGUCGCAAGACUAAAACUCAAAUGAAUUGACGGGGGCCCGCACAAGCGGUGGAGCAUGUGGUUUAAUUCGAUGCAACGCGAAGAACCUUACCUGGUCUUGACAUAGUAAGAACUUUCCAGAGAUGGAUUGGUGCCUUCGGGAACUUACAUACAGGUGCUGCAUGGCUGUCGUCAGCUCGUGUCGUGAGAUGUUGGGUUAAGUCCCGCAACGAGCGCAACCCUUUUCCUUACUUGCCAGCAUUUCGGAUGGGAACUUUAAGGAUACUGCCAGUGACAAACUGGAGGAAGGCGGGGACGACGUCAAGUCAUCAUGGCCCUUACGGCCAGGGCUACACACGUGCUACAAUGGUCGGUACAAAGGGUCGCUACACAGCGAUGUGAUGCUAAUCUCAAAAAGCCGAUCGUAGUCCGGAUUGGAGUCUGCAACUCGACUCCAUGAAGUCGGAAUCGCUAGUAAUCGCGGAUCAGAAUGCCGCGGUGAAUACGUUCCCGGGCCUUGUACACACCGCCCGUCACACCAUGGGAGUUUGUUGCACCAGAAGUAGGUAGUCUAACCGCAAGGAGGACGCUUACCACGGUGUGGCCGAUGACUGGGGUGAAGUCGUAACAAGGUAACCAAU